UAUUUAGGGUGAUUUCAUGCCAAGAUGC
rnacentral:piRNA from 1 species